rnacentral:misc_RNA from 1 species
AGCAGCCGCGGUAAUUCCAGCUCCAAUAGCGUAUAUUAAAGUUGUUGCAGUUAAAAAGCUCGUAGUUGAAUUUCGGGGUCAGUAGGUCGGUCGUGCCACUGGUAUGAACUGGUUUUACUGAUUCCUCCCUCUUGAAGAACUGUAAUGCCAUUAAUUUGGUGUUGCAGGGAAUCAGGACUGUUACUUUGAAAAAAUUUAGAGUGUUUAAAGCAGGCUUUAGCUUGAAUACAUUAGCAUGGAAUAAUGAAAUAGGACGUUUGAUCCUAUUUUGUUGGUUUCUAGGAUUGACGUAAUGAUUAAUAGGGAUAGUUGGGGGCAUUAGUAUUCAAUUGUCAGAGGUGAAAUUCUUGGAUUUAUUGAAGACUAACUACUGCGAAAGCAUUUGCCAAGGAUGUUUUCAUUAAUCAAGAACGAAAGUUAGGGGAUCGAAGACGAUCAGAUACCGUCGUAGUCUUAACCAUAAACUAUGCCGACUAGGGAUCGGAUGAUGUUAAUUUUUUAAUGACUCAUUCGGCGCCUU